GAUGAACGCUGGCGGCGUGCCUAGUACAUGCAAGUCGAGCGAACAGAUAAGGAGCUUGCUCCUUUGACGUUAGCGGCGGACGGGUGAGUAACACGUGGGUAACCUACCUAUAAGACUGGAAUAACUCCGGGAAACCGGGGCUAAUGCCGGAUAACAUUUAGAACCGCAUGGUUCUAAAGUGAAAGAUGGUUUUGCUAUCACUUAUAGAUGGACCCGCGCCGUAUUAGCUAGUUGGUAAGGUAACGGCUUACCAAGGCAACGAUACGUAGCCGACCUGAGAGGGUGAUCGGCCACACUGGAACUGAGACACGGUCCAGACUCCUACGGGAGGCAGCAGUAGGGAAUCUUCCGCAAUGGGCGAAAGCCUGACGGAGCAACGCCGCGUGAGUGAUGAAGGUCUUCGGAUCGUAAAACUCUGUUAUUAGGGAAGAACAAAUGUGUAAGUAACUGUGCACGUCUUGACGGUACCUAAUCAGAAAGCCACGGCUAACUACGUG
rnacentral:rRNA from 1 species